GAUGAACGCUGGCUACAGGCUUAACACAUGCAAGUCGAGGGGAAACGACGGGGAAGCUUGCUUCCCCGGGCGUCGACCGGCGCACGGGUGAGUAACGCGUAUCCAACCUGCCUCUGACUGAGGGAUAACCCGUCGAAAGUCGGCCUAAUACCUCAUGGCAUCGUCUGCGGGCAUCCAACGACGAUUAAAGAUUUCAUCGGUCAGGGAUGGGGAUGCGUCUGAUUAGCUUGUUGGCGGGGUAACGGCCCACCAAGGCUACGAUCAGUAGGGGUUCUGAGAGGAAGGUCCCCCACAUUGGAACUGAGACACGGUCCAAACUCCUACGGGAGGCAGCAGUGAGGAAUAUUGGACAAUGGGCGGGAGCCUGAACCAGCCAAGUAGCGUGCAGGAUGACGGCCCUAUGGGUUGUAAACUGCUUUUAUGCGGGGAUAAAGUGAGGGACGUGUCCUUCAUUGCAGGUACCGCAUGAAUAAGGACCGGCUAAUUCCGUG
rnacentral:rRNA from 1 species